AAGGGUUCUUGAGCUUCCAUCCGAAAACUGCCACACAUCUUGAGCUCGCGGGGUACUACGCCGAACGGGGGUGUGUGAAGGACCUGGAAAGAGGUUGGAGACAGAGGAAGGAAAAGAGCCAGUUGUGUGGUUGUGCUACAGAAGGUUAACACUACGGCGCUGUCUUUCCCCUCACACGUGGAGCCAGAGGAAACAGCUUUUGAACUUAUAAUGAGCACACACACACAGCCUUCGCUAUCGCCUUCCCAUGUUCCCAUCAACUAGAUAUUCUAGAUCACAAGGGCACCUACUGUAAUCACGAUGUCAAUGACUGAAGAUUACACGGAAAGAGCCGCUCAGAAGCUGGUAAUUAUUACCAGUCCACUAAUAGCAAGCGAUGCAUUGCCAUUUCACCACGAAAUCUGCAUUUCUCUCUGCUCAUGCUGGCGCACCACACUGUAUUACGGUGCUCACAGAUUCUAAAUUCCUAAACUGCAGUCAUCAAUAAAUGUGUUACUCGCUGCAA